rnacentral:rRNA from 1 species
UACGUAGGUGGCAAGCGUUGUCCGGAUUUACUGGGCGUAAAGGGCGUGCAGGCGGUUUGUUUAGUCUAGGGUGAAAGCUCCCGGCUUAACUGGGAGAGGUCCUUGGAUACUGGCAAACUUGAGGGAGGCAGAGGAAAGUGGAAUUCCCGGUGUAGUGGUGAUAUGCGUAGAUAUCGGGAGGAACACCCGCGGUGUAGACGGCCUGCUGGACCACGACUGACGCUGAGGCACGAAAGCGUGGGGAGCAAACAGG